rnacentral:lncRNA from 1 species
CGAACACAAAUGAGAGACUGAACCACAUGAUUGAGAAUUAUGUAUAAUGGUGACGUCGUUAUUCUCAAGGUUGCUUCUGUGGAUAACACACAUAGAUAUCCACUGCCUAGGCCUACUAUUCAGCUAUUUAUGAAAUGACUACAGAAGAGGUAUCAUCAAGAUGACCAAGCUGAUUGGCUCUAGUGCAAGUGGGAGAUUG